AUAAUUUUAGCCUUUUGGCUAAGAUCAAGUGUACUAUCUCUUCUUGCUAGUUGAUACCUGUCACCUCCUCAAUAUAGAAAAAGAACAUUAAGUGGAUUUGGGGAAUUACAAUAUGAAAAGGGAGAUUGUACCAUCCAGACUACAUGUCAACCUGAUAUUGCAGUACUGCCUAAAAUAAUCCUG
ensembl:snRNA U2 spliceosomal RNA